GGUCGAAUGGCGUAGUGGUUAGUGUCCCUGACUGCUAUGCCGAAGGUCCCGGGUUCGAUUCCCGACUGGGGCA
rnacentral:tRNA from 1 species